CGGGUGCACUGAUCCAGCCGGGCCUUUCCCUCUGUGGAACCCCAUGGCCUUCACUGGCUGUGGUGGGGAAACAGGACUUUUACUUUGAAAAAAUUAGAGUGCUCCGGGCAGGCCUAUGCUCGAAUACAUUAGCAUGGAAUAAUAGAAUAGGACGUGUGGUUCUAUUUUGUUGGUUUCUAGGACCGCCGUAAUGAUUAAUAGGGACAGUCGGGGGCAUCAGUAUUCAAUUGUCAGAGGUGAAAUUCUUGGAUCUAUUGAAGACUAACUACUGCGAAAGCAUUUGCCAAGGAUGUUUUCAUUGAUAAGGAACGAAAGUUAGGGGAUCGAAGACGAUCAGAUACCGUCGUAGUCUUAACUAUAAACUAUGCCGACUAGGGAUCGGACGAUGUUAUUCUUUGACGCGUUCGGCACCUUUCGAGAAAUCAAAGUGCUUGGGCUCCAGGGGGAGUAUGGUCGCAAGGCUGAAACUUAAAGAAAUUGACGGAAGGGCACCACCAGGGGUGGAACCUGCGGCUUAAUUUGACUCAACACGGGGAAACUCACCAGGUCCAGACACAGUGAGGAUUGACAGAUUGAGAGCUCUUUCUUGAUUCUGUGGGUGGUGGUGCAUGGCCGUUCUUAGUUGGUGGAGUGAUUUGUCUGCUUAAUUGCGAUAACGAACGAGACCUUAACCCGCUAAAUAGCCCGUACUGCUUUGGCAGUUCGCCGGCUUCUUAGAGGGACUAUCGG
rnacentral:rRNA from 1 species